rnacentral:rRNA from 1 species
GGGCGACUCGGGGCCAGAUCCGGCCGUAGUAUGGAGGAUGCAAGCUUUAUCCGGGAUCUUUGGGUUUAAAGGGUCCGUAGGCGACCUUAUAAGUCAUUGGUGAAAGCCAAUCGCUUAACGAUGGAACGGCCAUUGAUACUGUAGGGCUUGAAGUUUUGUGAAGUAACUAGAAUAUGUAGUGUAGCGGUGAAAUGCUUAGAUAUUACAUGGAAUACCAAUUGCGAAGGCAGGUUACUAACAAACAAUUGACGCUGAUGGACGAAAGCGUGGGGAGCGAACAGGAUUAGAUACCCCGGAGUC